CCUACGGGGGACAGCAGUGAGGAAUAUUGGUCAAUGGACGCAAGUCUGAACCAGCCAUGCCGCGUGCAGGAAGACGGCUCUAUGAGUUGUAAACUGCUUUUGUACGAGGGUAAACGCAGAUACGCGUAUCUGUCUGAAAGUAUCGUACGAAUAAGGAUCGGCUAACUCCGUGCCAGCAGCCGCGGUAAUACGGAGGAUUCAAGCGUUAUCCGGAUUUAUUGGGUUUAAAGGGUGCGUAGGCGGUCGGAUAAGUUAGAGGUGAAAUCCCGAGGCUCAACUUCGGAAUUGCCUGUGAUACUGUGCGGCUAGAGAGUAGUUGCGGUAGGCGGAAUGUAUGGUGUAGCGGUGAAAUGCUUAGAGAUCAUACAGAACACCGAGUGCGAAGGCAGCUUACCAAGCUACUUCUGACGUUGAGGCACGAAAGCGUGGGGAGCAAACAGGAUUAGAUACCCCUGUAGUC
rnacentral:rRNA from 1 species